rnacentral:lncRNA from 1 species
UUGAGGUUAAAAAUGUUAGACCAGAUAUAAAUAAUAUUUGUUAAAAUCUGCUUAUACCAAUCAAUCCUGCAUUCAUGCAAGUUUGGGCCUCGUGUAAUUCAACAUUAUUGACUAAGUGGUGAUGGCUAAGUGCUAUUCUAGAGAACAAGUGCGUGCCUGUUCAUAUGCAGACAGGAAAACAUUCUGGAAUUAUGUUUCUCGAAGAACCUGAAGUCUUCUAUUUUAGAACUGAGACCAUCAGGAUUCUGGUGAAAAGCUAUAAACAGAAAACAGGGUCAAACAUAUCAAGGUGGUUGAAGACAGACACAUUUCUCCCUCUGGUCCCUGGGCCUCACACUCGCUUCUCUCAGUACCUCAUAUAUUUUCUUCUGUGUGGAAGAACCAUGGACUUCAAAGGAAAUUCAUGCAAAGCAAGGAUUUGCACGGUGUGGAAAAAGCAGGAAUCUGGUUCCCCAUAACUGAAAAAACUACCCACAUGAUUCGUGAUUAACAGUUUGAACUGGCAAGAUGUUAAGAUGAAAGUCUACAAGUAAUUGAAGGGAGGAGGCAAUGGUUUGUGACUGGAGAUUUUUAACCCCUAAAGACAAGGAUCCCUAAAAGAUGCUGCAGUUUCCACUGUUAUUAUCUAGGAUUCAGACUUCACUCUGACAGUAAUGUACUCCCCCUAGGAGAAGCUAACCUCAUGAAAAGGAAUGUCAAAAGAAAGCAUAAUGAGAGGUUUGAAAGCCCACACCACACAUGGAAUUAAGAAAGGAUGCUGGAAAUAGGGCAGAGAGCUUCUUGGAAGGAAAGAGCAAGGUCAGAAGGAGACUUAAAGCAACCCCAAUCUCCAUGAAGCAGAAGUAAACUUACCUGCAUAGGGGAUGGCGACAUGAAGCAGGAGGAGGUGCAGGAGGACAUGCUGCAGCAACAGGACCGGCAGAAGUUUGGUCCCCCACAUCAUGCUUGCAGUUCGAGCAGACUGAUCCCUCUGCAGGAGAUGCCGGGCUGAAAGAAUCCUGUUGCAAACCGGUCGGUUCUGAGCUGCUUUUAUUGCGAUGAGCUAAGUUUGUUGUGUGAUUAACUGGAAAGAUCUAGGUCUGAACUCCCUCUUACGGUAAGAAACUGUUUAACAACAGCCCUUUACUCUCUUCCAGCCCCUUCCUUUC